rnacentral:rRNA from 1 species
GAGUUUGAUCCUGCUUCAGGAUGAUCGCUAGCGGCAGGCUAAACACAUGCAAGUCGAGGGGCAGCAAGUCCAGCAAUGGAUGAUGGCGACCGGCGGAAGGGUGCGUAACGCGUGAGCAACAUGCCCUAUACAGGGAGAUACACCAGGGAAACUUGGUCUAAUAUCCCAUAGCAUUCAUUGAAGGCAUCUAUAAUGAAUUAAAGCUUCGGUGGUAUAGGAUUGGCUCGCGUGACAUUAGCCAGAUGGUGAGGUAACGGCUCACCAUAGCAAUGAUGUCUAGGGGUUUUGAGAGGAAGGCCCCCCACACUGGGACUGAGACACGGCCCAGACUCCUACGGGAGGCAGCAGUGAGGAAUAUUGGACAAUGGAUGGAAAUCUGAUCCAGCCAUGCCGCGUGCAGGAAGACGGCCUUAUGGGUUGUAAACUGCUUUUAUACGGGAGCAAUAAGGGUUACGAGUAAUCCGAUGAGAGUACUGUAUGAAUAAGGAUCGGCUAACUCCGUGCCAGCAGCCGCGGUAAUACGGAGGAUCCGAGCGUUAUCCGGAAUUAUUGGGUUUAAAGGGUGCGUAGGCGGCCAUUUAAGUCAGCGGUGAAAUUUUGCAGCUUAACUGUAACAGUGCCGUUGAUACUGUUUGGCUAGGAUUUGGUUGUAGUGUGCGGAAUGUGUGGUGUAGCGGUGAAAUGCUUAGAUAUCACACAGAACACCGAUUGCGAAGGCAGCACACUAAGUCAUUAUUGACGCUGAGGCACGAAAGUGUGGGGAUCAAACAGGAUUAGAUACCCUGGUAGUCCACACUGUAAACGAUGAUAACUCGCUGUCGGCGAUACACAGUCGGUGGCCAAGCGAAAGC